rnacentral:rRNA from 1 species
CGACCGGCGCACGGGUGAGUAACACGUAUCCAACCUGCCGUCUACUCUUGGCCAGCCUUCUGAAAGGAAGAUUAAUCCAGGAUGGGAUCAUGAGUUCACAUGUCCGCAUGAUUAAAGGUAUUUUCCGGUAGACGAUGGGGAUGCGUUCCAUUAGAUAGUAGGCGGGGUAACGGCCCACCUAGUCAACGACGGAUAGGGGUUCUGAGAGGAAGGUCCCCCACAUUGGAACUGAGACACGGUCCAA